UUAAGCAUAUCAGUAAGCGGAGGAAAAGAAACUAACAAGGAUUCCCUUAGUAGCGGCGAGCGAACAGGGAUGAGCCCAGCACCGAACCUCGCGCCCGGUUGAGCGGGUGCCGAGGAAUGUGGUGUUCGGGAGGAUCGUGCGCGCCUGUCCGGUAUCUAUCGUCCAAGUCUUCAUGAACGAGGCGAGCAACCCAUAGAGGGUGUCAGGCCCGUAGCUUAGACGAGCCGAGACCGUGCAUCGGAUCCCUUCCCAAGAGUCGGGUUGCUUGAGCGUGCAGCCCUAAGCGGGAGGUAAACUCCUUCUAAGGCUAAAUAUCGCCACGAGACCGAUAGCGAACAAGUACCGCGAGGGAAAGUUGAAAAGAACUUUGAAGAGAGA
rnacentral:rRNA from 1 species